rnacentral:rRNA from 1 species
GGAUGUGCCCAGAUGGGAUUAGCUUGUUGGUGGGGUAACGGCUCACCAAGGCGACGAUCCCUAGCUGGUCUGAGAGGAUGACCAGCCACACUGGAACUGAGACACGGUCCAGACUCCUACGGGAGGCAGCAGUGGGGAAUAUUGCACAAUGGGCGCAAGCCUGAUGCAGCCAUGCCGCGUGUAUGAAGAAGGCCUUCGGGUUGUAAAGUACUUUCAGCGGGGAGGAAGGGAGUAAAGUUAAUACCUUUGCUCAUUGACGUUACCCGCAGAAGAAGCACCGGCUAACUCCGUGCCAGCAGCCGCGGUAAUACGGAGGGUGCAAGCGUUAAUCGGAAUUACUGGGCGUAAAGCGCACGCAGGCGGUUUGUUAAGUCAGAUGUGAAAUCCCCGGGCUCAACCUGGGAACUGCAUCUGAUACUGGCAAGCUUGAGUCUCGUAGAGGGGGGUAGAAUUCCAGGUGUAGCGGUGAAAUGCGUAGAGAUCUGGAGGAAUACCGGUGGCGAAGGCGGCCCCCUGGACGAAGACUGACGCUCAGGUGCGAAAGCGUGGGGAGCAAACAGGAUU